AACUGGAGGAGGGUGGGGAUGACGUCAAGUCAUCAUGGCCCUUACGAGUAGGGCUACACACGUGCUACAAUGGCAUAUACAAAGAGAAGCGACCUCGCGAGAGCAAGCGGACCUCAUAAAGUAUGUCGUAGUCCGGAUUGGAGUCUGCAACUCGACUCCAUGAAGUCGGAAUCGCUAGUAAUCGUGGAUCAGAAUGCCACGGUGAAUACGUUCCCGGUCCUUGUACACACGGCCCGUCACACCAUGGGAGUGGGUUGCAAAAGAGGUAGGUAGCUUAACCUUCAGGAGGGCGCUUACCACGUUGUGAUUCAUGACUGGGGUGAAGUCGUAA
rnacentral:rRNA from 1 species